GACAUUGUGGCAUAACGGUAGCGCGUCUGACUCCAGAUCAGAAGGAUGUGUGUUCAAGUCACAUAAAGGUCA
rnacentral:tRNA from 1 species